AGGGCAGGCCUUCAUCCAACAGCUGUUGAAGUAAAUGGCCUGGUAUAGGAGGUGAGUAGGGAAGGAGGCAGCAACGAGGUAGUUUUUACUGGAAUGAGCCACGGGGUCUGGGCUUGGAAAAGUAGUUUGAAGCUGAGUCUCAUACCUCUAUCUGAUUUGAAUAUCCAUCUGCUGAAAAAUGAAGUCAUCUGCAAGAGUUAGUUGUUUAAUGAGACAUCUUGAGCCACACAGCAGUUCAGCUUUCAUCAUUUGAGACUGAAUAGUGACUAUCCCUGUGAAGCCAUAACAAAUAUAUGAAUAUCAGUAAGCUGUAGAACAACGAACACUAAUGAGAAGAUGCAGUGCCUUCCUGUGCAACAACCACGGUAAUCUGUGUGAUAAAUAAGAAGUUACUCAUAGAUGCCUCUACUGUUCUUUUCCUCUUCAUUAUUACCAUGUAAAUUUUUGUAUUCUGUUGGGAUUUGUGGGUAUUUCUUGAGCUGCAAGAACAACUGAAUGACCUGAAGUUCAACAGUGCCGCUGUGUGUACAUACAUAUGUAUAUGGAUACUUAGAGAGAGAGAGUAUGCUCUUGGCUUCCUCACUUGUCACCUUUCAUGUUUGGGUCUCCUUCUUAAAAAAUUAAACCAAUUCUUGAUGUUCA